rnacentral:miRNA from 1 species
UGAUGAGAUUGAGAGGGGGGAUGAGAGGGGAGGAUGGGAGGGAGGAGUAACAGAAGUGAAAACAAAAACUUGAACGUAAAAAAAAUUUCAAAUAGAUUUUAGUGUUUUUAGUUUUUGGUUUCACUUUUCUUAAUCCUCCCUCCCAUCCUCUCCUCUCAAUCCCAUCAAUUCUCCCUCUUU